CCUACGGGAGGCAGCAGUGAGGAAUAUUGGUCAAUGGGCGAGAGCCUGAACCAGCCAAGUCGCGUGAGGGAGUACUGCCCUAUGGGUUGUAAACCUCUUUUGUCGGGGAGCAAAAGCCGGACGUGUCCGGCUGUGAGAGUAACCGAAGAAAAAGCAUCGGCUAACUCCGUGCUAGAAGCCGCGGUAAUACGGGGGAUGCGAGCGUUAGCCGGAUGUAUGGGGUUAAAGGGGUGCGAAGGCGGAUUUUUAAGUCAGCGGUCAAAUCGUGGGGCUCAACCCCAUCCAGCCGUUGAAACUGGGGGUCUAGAGUAUGCGAGAGGUAUGCGGAAUGCGUGGUGUAGCGGUGAAAUGCAUAGAUAUCACGCAGAACCCCGAUUGCGAAGGCAGCAUACCGGUGCACAACUGACGCUCAGGCACGAAAGCGUGGGUAUCGAACAGGAUUAGAUACCCUUGUAGUC
rnacentral:rRNA from 1 species